rnacentral:misc_RNA from 1 species
UUACUGAGUUAGGCCUAGCGUAUAAAUGUUCAAGUAUAAAUAACAGUUCAACAGAAAUUAACUGCUUAGUAUGACAAACACGUUUUUAUCUGUCACUGCUUGGGUCCAGGGUUUCCUUAGAAAGGGAUUUUCAAGAAAUCAUGAAUAAUUGAGUUGUAAAUUAGUAUGUGAAUAUCCUUGCAAUUCGGUAUUAUUCGCAGGGGAUCUCGGUCAGAGUUUUGA